rnacentral:rRNA from 1 species
UACGUAGGGUGCUAGCGUUGUUCGGAUUUAUUGGGCGUAAAGAGCGUGUAGGCGGCCGGGUAAGUCCGGUGUGAAAACUCGAGGCUUAACCUCGAGAUGUCAUCGGAAACUAUUCGGCUAGAGUCCGGAAGAGGAGAGUGGAAUUCCUGGUGUAGCGGUGAAAUGCGCAGAUAUCAGGAAGAACACCUAUGGCGAAAGCAGCUCUCUGGGACGGUACUGACGCUGAGACGCGAAAGCGUGGGGAGCGAACAGG